GAUGAACGCUAGCUACAGGCUUAACACAUGCAAGUCGAGGGGAAACGAUAGAGAAAGCUUGCUUUUUCUAGGCGUCGACCGGCGCACGGGUGAGUAACGCGUAUCCAACCUGCCCAUCACUUGGGGAUAACCUUGCGAAAGUAAGACUAAUACCCAAUGAUAUCUCUAGAAGACAUCUGAAAGAGAUUAAAAGAUUUACUCGGUGAUGGAUGGGGAUGCGUCUGAUUAGCUUGUUGGCGGGGUUAACGGCCCACCAAGGCGACGAUCAGUAGGGGUUCUGAGAGGAAGGUCCCCCCACAUUGGAACUGAG
rnacentral:rRNA from 1 species